AUAAGAUUUUUUAAAAUUUACAUCCACUGUGGUUGAGACUCUUAGUAUUUCUACAGGUGCAGUUCCAGGAUGCUUCUAAGCCAGUUUAACACUGAGCUGAAAAUGAAGGGGACAAUUCUGCUCUUUCUUACCAAUACACGUCUUCUGGAGAGAUGAGUCAGGUGGCUUCUGAGAUGAAACUUUAUCUUUUUCAGAGUUAUUUUUCCAUUGGAUCAGUCCUACUACCAUUAUGGAAAAAAGAGAACUAUGAAAGACAUCAAGGUGUAAGGCAGAAAACAUUACUUUAGAUGGUGAUAUGCCACUGAAUUACCUUUCUUUAACAUGAAAUCACAAAGUCUGGUUUAAGGAGAAGGGCUGAAAUCUGGAAAAUACCACAGACUCCUAAGAAGUGAGUGAAGGGGAUAUCUCAAGAGAGGAAUUGAGCUACAUAUUAUAUAGUCUAUUCAAAGGUUUUUUUUGCUUUUGCAAUUCAUUCCUAACUCUCCAUGAACAAGCAAUACAAUGCAACAUUUUUUCCUGUUGGUCUUUGAAAUCUGACAGAGAAUAAGAAGUACAAGAUAUCCCUUAGCAACACAGCUAUGAUGAGAAAUCGUGUUUCCUUAAAACAUGAACAGACUUUCACCUCAGCAGGUUACACUCUCAAGCACCAGCUGCAUGGGUCAGCGCACACAUUCAUCUACCAUGCUGAGAAAAGAACUUCUAAAGAUUAUUUGGAAAACAAUAAGAGAGGGAGAGAGCAGCUAGUAUGGAUGUGUGCCCUCACAGCUGCCAGAGAUCAAAUGUGCUGCUCAGUGUGCCUUGGGUGAAGGUGCUGUGACAGACCAACAUGGUUUUCUGCUAGUGGUCCUGAAGACUAAACCUGACACCAGUGAGAUACUCUGGGAGUCCAGCCAUCAUUUCUCCUCAAGGCAGCUCUUGACCUUGGCCCAUGAUGGAAACUCAAACAAAGAUAACAUAUGUGCACAACCACAAGCCAGGUAACAGUCUCCUUGCAGCCCUUUCUCUGCUAAAUGAUGCUUAAUGUCUUUCAUUUUACUUGCACAAUCUUUAUGUCCAGGUUCCUGCCUAUUCGAGGAAUCACAUUCUCCAUAAAAUAAGGUAUUAAGAAAAGUAUUCAAGCCUAAAAGCCCUUUCCAUUUAAGAGACUAAUGUCAACUUAUUAUCCAUCAUAAAAAUCCAGAUCACAAUAUGUUUCUUCUCUCUACUUUGGUGAAAAAAUACAAGUUUCUGGUCCUAUAAGCAAUGCUGAUUUCCUCAGAAAAUGAGGAACAAUGACAUUUAGUUAAAAGCGUGGACAGGAGUUAGAGGAGUCAAUUGAAAGAACAGAAUUGAGCUGUAGGGAAUUUUCUUAUUUGGUAUUUUAGUCCAAAAUUGAACUUAAAUAAAUAACUGAACAGCUUCCCAACUAAGGCAACUUCCAGGAAGUUCUCUGGGAAAGAACUGUCCUGAAAACUGACAGAGCCAAAAUUUACACUUGGUUGACUACUCUCUGUAGCAGUGACAUGGGGAUUGCUCUGGAGAAGGCUCACCAGGCAGAUUGCUCCAUGGCCAAGGAACCAUGUGUCCAGGCUCUCCUACAAAUCUACAUGGUCAAACCAAAAUAUUUUGAAUUUUAAAAACAGCAUUUCCUAUCUCUCUCUAGCCAGCAAGUCCUGUUGCUUUGCUUGCUUAGAUGGAAUUUCAUAUUUUCAGUCAUUGAACAAGAUUUUAGAUUGUUUGGCUUUUUGUUGGCUUUUUUCAGUUCUUUAGAAAGGUGUGAUUGGAUUAUUUCUGUUUUAAAAAUACACAUCCAAAGAAAUGUAUUAAUUAAAACAUGGGAGAGACAGCAGACUGCGCAAAAUGACAGAAUUGGGGAAUAAAGGAGAUAGAGACGAUUCAACAUGAACAGCAACCUCACCUGCUGAGAUAGCUGAGGUCGCCUAGAAUACAAUGGCACCAGAGGACAACUGGAAGUUCUUUGGAAGCUGACAAAUGACUACAUCCCAUGGACAACACUGUCAGCUGGACUCCCCGCUUGUGCGGGAAUCGGUUGCAACGGGAUAAAGUUUAAGUCUCUCCUUCAAUUAACGGUUAAGCACAAAGAAGAAAAUCACUACAGGCAGGAACUGCCCUAUGGAGGAGAAGCUGUAGACAUGAGAAGAAGAUUAAAAAGUAGCCUGAAAUAAGUUGGUGCUAUAAAUUUUUUUAAAGAAACACAUAUCUGAAUCCUACACAGAAAUGUGAAUAUAGCUCAGCAAAUGAUGCAUCACCCUCAUCUUAGCUAAGUUAUAUGCCAGAUGACACAAGGAAAUGCUGAAAUAUAGUGUCUAGGACACCAGUUCCAAGGAUGCAUUGAAGAACCCAGAAAGGUUAUUUUCAAAAUUAGCCCAGAUAUUAUACAGGAGAGAAAGGGAAAAACACAUAGAAAAGCCCUUGCAAUAUUGCAAUGUACAUGGAGGAGGCAAAAUGUAUUGUAUCUGAGAUGUUACUGAAAUGAAAAAGACAAAACCUGAUGAGAUUUUCUAUAUAUUGUAAGAAAUGUUUAUCAGUUUUGGAGAUUAUUUUAAAGAGAAGAGCUUUUCAGCUUUUCAGCUGGUUCGAGGGUUUGCCAACUCAAAAGUCUACACCAUCUCAUUUUUGAAAUAGAACUCAGAAGGACCACUGUGAGUAAUGACUGCUAAAAGAGCUAAUUGUCCAAUUUAUCUAUAGAAGCCUUUCAGGGGACUAAAAAAUAAUAAUAGCAUUCCAUAUGGAAACAUCUCAUUUGAUUAUCUCUAGUCCAUAGGUUUAUAAAGGGGAAAAUGUCCUAAGUAAAUAAGGACCCGGAGCAAUGACCUAAAAUUCUGAAAAUAUUGAAGUUUGUGCUCCCAGAAUAAUCAAAUUUCAGUGGAAACUGAAACUGAAAGAUUGGUUUGGCUUCCUUCAGCAAAGUGUUUCUAUCAGUCUUUAUAGUAAAAACAGCUUUUACUUUUGCCCGACUAAAAAAUCCCAACACCUGAUUACCCAAUUACCUGAGAUUUCCUUGUGUUCCUGGUUAUGGCAAAUCCAUGCAAUGGGGCAGGGAUGGAUUAGUUCAGCAUGAGCUAAUUCCAGAGUCAUAAUGGCCAAGAGGCACACUACAGAGAUACUCACGGGAAUUUACUCGUUCAAGUUGGUCUAAGCUAACAGGUUAUUGGCUUUUAUUUCAUUAUAACAGGUUGUUAUGCCAGAGGAUACCUUUAUGGAGAAUUCAUGUUGAUGGUGUUCCCAAGCUGAUCAUGAGAAUCAAAUUAUUCUCCUUCAGCCUUUACGCUAAAUUUGUCACCAUCCAUUUUUGGCUCACAAACAAAUAUGAGGCUAUUCUGUAGUGCAACAUCCAGGAGUAAGAAGAGCUCUCUGCAACUUUUACAUGACUCUGGAAAUAAGAAAGGAAGUUUUCUCAGAGGAUGUAGGUCAUAACUAUGUCCCCUACCAUCUGGUCCUUGAAACCCAGUAAAGGAGGCUGAAUAUAUUGCAUUCCAGCACUCUCAAUUGACAGACAGUCCCUCAAGGACUGUAACUAACUGGUGAAGUUUCAAACAACCUCCAAACUUUUCUAAAAACCACUAGAGCUACAGAAGUCUUAUAUUGGCUGGCUCAGUAGGAAACUAUAAACUCAGUAAGAAACUGCAUGAACUUCCUUCAUCUGCUUCCCUUUUAACUGCAGCUCUGAAACGACUAUUAUAAAGCUGAGGAACCAGCUCUUUUGUUGUCAAGAUAACUACGGACCAAAUCAGCAAAAUAAAAGCCUUGUGUUUUCAGACAUACCAUUUUGACACUGGUUGCACUGUAUGAACAUAUGUAUUAGGGUACAUCCUUUCAUAUAGCCAGAAAAUAACUCACUAGGCAUUUGAUGCAAUGUGUACUAAUAACAUCAAUAUUUCAGCUAUUUUUAAAGAUGCUUCCUAGAGAAAAGUAAAGUACUGAGAAGCAGCAGCAGCAGCAGCAAAUGACCCUUGCCAUGCAUGUGCACGCAUUUAUGUAUUGCUAGCUGUCAAGACAAGAAAGCUGAUCUCACAUCAAAAGGAUUCCCAGAGAGUGCUGGGGAGGGGGGAAAAAAUCCCAAAAAGAAACCUCUUACUCCUUCACUGCUCCCUUUCUUUACUUACAAACCAAUAAACAAAACACCGCAGUGAGUCAGUUAAUGGCCACUUAUCUGAAACCAUGAAUAAGAAAUUUAAAAAAAUCCUUUUGCUUCCCUCUUACCCUCAUGAUCCAUAUUCUUGGCUCUGCAAGCUUGGCUCUGCUUCUGAUGACAAAUGACACAGUUGUAAAUAGCAGUCCUUGUUAUCAGGACAGAUCCAUAUCACCUCUAUUUAAUAAAGCAAGAGUUGUAGUUAC